GACGAACGCUGGCGGCGUGCUUAACACAUGCAAGUCGAACGAAAAGAGGGAAAGAGCUUGCUCUUUCCGGAAUUGAGUGGCAAACGGGUGAGUAACACGUAAACAACCUGCCUUCAGGAUGGGGACAACAGACGGAAACGACUGCUAAUACCGAAUAAGUUCCAAGAGCCGCAUGGCCCAUGGAAGAAAAGGUGGCCUCUACCUGUAAGCUAUCGCCUGAAGAGGGGUUUGCGUCUGAUUAGCUGGUUGGAGGGGUAACGGCCCACCAAGGCGACGAUCAGUAGCCGGUCUGAGAGGAUGAACGGCCAAACUGGAACUGAGACACGGUCCAGAAUCCUACGGGAGGCAGCAGUGGGGAAUCUUCCGAAAUGGGCGAAAGCCUGACGGAGCAACGACGCGUGAGUGAUGACGGCCUUCGGGUUGUAAAACUCUGUGAUCCGGGACGAAAAGGCAGAGUGCGAAGAACAAACUGCAUUGACGGUACCGGAAAAGCAAGCCACGGCUAACUACGUG
rnacentral:rRNA from 1 species